UUUGCCUAUGCUGGUGUCAUUAAAACAUGUUAUCUUAUCACCCUUAUGCUUAUUCUCUUCUACAGUCCUUGUGAAUUGGGCACAGGUCCUAGCCACAGCUGCUGCUUGCUGAGUGUACACAGCAUUCCCUACCAGUUUAGCUGCUGGUCUCCUGUGGAAUGGGUGUUACCACUAUAGCCUCCCACAGCCUCUGAGGCAAAAAGUGGAGAAAGAGCAGCCAUUCUUUCCUCCCCCCUUCUAUUCCUGGUACAUAAUUGGUCAGGCAUCAACCAGUCACCAAGGACCUGUCAAUGGAUUUCCUCCUGGAAGGGGCAGGAGGGAAGUGGAAAGUGCACCAAGGUUUCAUGGAGGAUCAUCCCGCGUCAGGAAUAUCCUUCCCCCAGAGUAAAAAUGGUAUAGCACCUUUCAAAGAGGAAGAGAAACGAAUUUCAUUUCCUUCUUUCUGCCAUGAAAAAGCUGCAAACAGAGUAUUUGAAGGGUCCCCACCAGUAAGAUGGCAAACUUCCGGCUUCUUUUCGGGGUCCUCGGUUCCCGCCGGCGCCACCUG